GUUUUGGUUUGUUUGGCCUCACUGUGCCAUGCACUUGGUAAAAUUUUGAACCUAUAGUUCUCUCAUAUCUUUUAUAAUAUCGACUGAGAAAUACAUAUUAAAGAAUAUUGCAUAUUUUUACUCUUUCCCCAACCCAACACUUAUCCCUGUAAUUACUUCCUAGUUUCUGGUAAGCAGAUUAGGGUAACUACAUUAUUUUUAUUAUGUCUUUUCUUUAGUAAUUCUUUUGGACACUUGCAUUCAAUUUUAUAAAUACACAUUUAAAGACACUGUGUUUCUUGUGUCUUAAUUUUUACUUUCAACACUACUUUUUAAUCAUAUGACCCCCAUUCUUGAGGCAUUUAAUUUGAUUUACUCUCAUUUAGAGUAUGCUAUUCAGUGAAAAAUGUUGCUUUUGUUCUGUAUUUCUUUUUAAAGGAUUACUUGAAUCAAAUAUAUCUGAAUUCUAGCUUUACUGAAAAUUGCAUUUUGUUGUCUUGGUACUGAGUGAUACAUUGACAUAUGUAAAAUUCUUUUUUUAAAUUUCAUCAGAGCUCCUUCCUCCAGAAUCAAAAGAUAUUGCAAUCUUGCCUCCUGGUAUCUCAAGUAGCAGAGGAAAAGAGUUGCAGAUCUGAUUUUGUUGCUUUGUUUAUUAUCUAUUAUUGAUUCAUUUGCUUGCAUGUAUGCUUGUAGGAUUUCUUUUUUUCUUAUCUCUCUAUUUCUAAAAUUCUUCCACCAUGUAUUUUGCAUGGAUAUCUUCACUACAUUAACCUGAACCACGGUUGGCUAUUCGUGUCUGCAUAUUUGGGUCUCUUUGGUUUUGUCUUUGUUAUUUCCUGUGUAUUCUUUAUUCUGGUUCUUCUUUUAGAGCAUCUCCAAGGCAGAAAUUAAGAUCUCUGUUCUCACUUCUAUGCUCUCCAUAUCGACCAUAUUCUUUUAUUAUUUUUAGAACUUUUCAUCUUUCUUCUGUGUGCUGGGAAGGCUUCAUAAGUUUAUUCCAUAUCCUGCCAUUUCAGUUUUGCUCUUCCUUCCUGUGAUGGAUUUCAUUUUUGUGAUUGUUCUUUUAUUUCCGCCUAUCUCAGCCAGCCUUCUCUCUCCCCAGGUUAUUGUAUGUGCAUUUCAUUUUUUAGGCUUCUUGUAGUCAGGGUGCUGGAAACUGAUUAGCUGUUCAUCUAACCUGCUUCUCCUUUCUCCUGCACACCUCUUAGACAUUUCUCAGUCCCUCUUGAAGUUAGGGAUGUCCACAUGAUCAAAUGUUACCAAUGGAAUCUAUGAAAAACUGAAUCAAAUCACUUCCACACCUGGCCCAUAAAAAUCUCUCCUGCUAUUUCCAAUUCCAAGGCAAGCUUAAAAGCCAUGUGUUGAAGGUGGUGGAGCUCUGUGGUGGAAAAAGCCUCAUUCCCUGAACUGCCAGUUGGAGGAGAGCCAUCUGCUUAUCAGGACCAUCUGUUUUGGAUUUCAUAUACCAGGACAAUAAACUUUUAUUUCUUGUCCCACUGAAAUGCAGGGGUUUAUUUGUCAUAGCAGUAAGUAUUAUCUUAACGAAUAUUCAGAGUCUGUUCAUUAUUAUUUUUAUUUUUUGCCUUUCAGAAAAGGCAUCUCUUUAACAUCCUUUUGAGAAUGACCAGCUUUCUCUAAUUUUCUGACUAUCAUCAGAGUCUUGGUGUGCUGUUCUCUUUCCCUUGUGUUUUCAUGUUUUUAAGUUCCAUGUUAAUUUUUGUCUCUUUAUGAUGUAAUAAUUUUUGCACAAUGGAAUUGUGAGCAGACAGUCUGUGUGAUUUUUACAUGGCUAGGCUAACACUUGACUUAUUUUUAUGGAAGAAUCUCUUUCUGGGAUAUUUACCUACUGGGAGGUUUUCAGUAGCUGAUCAGCAUCCAGAUAGAGCUGCUUUGAUGCAUUAUAGUGCAGUUCUGUAUUACUCCCAUAAUUUGAUCCUUAAACCUGUGAAUCAAAGAAGGACAAUAAAAGUCAUAGUCUCCCAGGAUGCACUGUGGCCAGGCUUUUCCUGUUUCUGCUCCAGCUCCAGUGAUUUCCCUCAGGGCAGAGGGGCUAAUAACUUAUAUACCCGCUCCACACACGUGUAUUUCCUCCUGACUUGUUUCUUGUUUAAGUUGUAACUACAACGUGCCAUGAGUACACUGAAUGUGGUAUAGAGAUAGAUAUUCAGAUCACCCCCCAAAGAAUUUUUUCUUUUUUAGGAAAGAACAGAUACACAAUUACUUUUUGGUAAGAAGUUAGACCUUUAGUUUUCUUAAAGCACAGAUUCCUAGGUCCCACUAUGGGGGAAAUUCUGAUUUAGCAAAUCUAUGAUUAAGAGAGAUGCAUAAUGCAUCUAUGUUUUUAAAAACGCCUAUGAAAAUUUGACAUGUAGCUAAGAAUCUGAUCUGCAAGAAAAUUAACACCAUAGCAGAUAAUUAAAAAAAAAUCAAAUUUUCUCAAAACCUCAGUUUCUAUUGACAGAUACAUUUAUAUAAAAUAAAAUAUCAUUCACUUUUAAAAGGGAAGAUAUUUCUGACACAUGCUACCACGUAGAUGAACCUUAAGGAUACUAUGCUAGUAAAAUAAACCAGUCACAAAAAGGAAAAUACUGUAUUAUUUUCUAUAUGUGUGAUACAUAGAGUAGUCAAAAUCAUGGAGACAGAAAGUAGAGUGGUGGUUGCAAAGGGCUGCAAGCAGGGAAAAAUGGAUAGUUAUUGUUUAAUGAGCACAGAAUUUUGUUUUGGAAGAUGAAAGAAGUUCUGGAGAUGGAUGUUGAUUGCUCCCUACAUUGAAAUGUGCACUCAAAACGAUUCAAGGGGUACAUUUUACGUUGUGUUUUUAACCAAAAUUUUUAAAAUGAGAUAAAUAGAAUAAUGAAGUCAUCUUCUUGAAUUUUAUUACUCUCCCUCUUGAAUUUUUAUAUCGUUAGUUUCAUACAUUUUGGGAUCUAGAGAGAUCUUAGAGAUGUGAGAGCCUGUGAGAUGGGGAGAUUUACAUAAGACCAGAAAGUGAGUGAGACACAGAGACAGAACUAUAAGCCAUAAGUCUUGGCUGUAGUCACCAGAAUUCUGUAUUUUAAGUGCUGAGGGUCUCUUUUUUCUGGUGUGAAAGGCUUGUUCUGGAAACUAUUGUGACUUCCAUCAGUCUCCUUGGAAGUUUCCAGGGACACCUUCCUGGCAAUGACUUACUGCUGACACAGGUCUGAUACAGGCUGGCAAUUUCCUCCUGGGUUAUGGUUUAGCAGAGUUAUAUUAUGAAUUCAGCUCCCACAUGAAAAAUCACCCCACUUUGCAACCAGUGAAAAUAAAGAUAGGCUGCUUGUAUCUGUGCCAGAUCUUCUGUGAAACAGGGAGAAAAAAAUGUUUUGUUGUAACAAGGAGAAACAAUAAGAAUACUGUCUGCUGGGGCCUGAGGAUUUCUCUGUAAUUAGUGAUGAUGUUUGUACAAGGUGAUUUGAUACUUUAUCCUAUAAUCUGUUGAAAUUUAUUUUGCCUCCUUGGCUGGGCAUAAUCACUUCUAGAAACUAGAGCUUAGCUUCAUUUAUUUUCUUCAUUGUUCUUCUGUUUUCUUCUGAUUUUAUCUUUAUUACUUGCUGCCUUCUAUUUAAUUUGGGUUUAAUUUGCUUUUCUUCUAGCUUAUUAAGAUAAAAGCUUCAAUCGCUGAUUUGAGAAUGUCUUUUCUAAUAUCAUCACAUAAUACUAUAUAUUUUCCUCUAAGCAUUGCUUUAGCUGCCCUGAACCAUUCAGUUUAUUUAUGUUUUAAUUUUCAUUAAGUUCAAAAUGCUUUAAAAUAUUCCAUGAGAUGUCUUUUUUGGCUUUUGGGUUUUUAGAAUCAUGCUUUUAAAAAUUUCCAAGUAUUUGGGGGACUUUUCAAAUAUCUUUUUUUAAUUUCUAGUUUAAUUAUCCUGUGGUCAUAAAACAUAAUUGAAAAUAACUCUUUUUUAAAAAAAUUAUUAACCAUUUUUAUGUCCCAGAAUACACUUUAUUUUGUAAAUUUUUGUGUGCAUUUGAAAAAAAGUAUAUUCUACUGUUGUUAGGAAGAAUAUUCUAUAAAUAUAAAUUAGAUCAGUUUGGUUGAUAGUGUUCAUGUUUUCUAUAUCCUGUUGAUUUUUUGUCUAAUUGUUCUAUAUUAUUACAAUAAAAAUUUUGAAACUUUUCAUCU
rnacentral:lncRNA from 1 species